AAGAGAUUUAUAAAAAAAAAAAAAGUGUUAGUGUUUGCUGUUGACGUGUUGUGGAUCUGCAGCUGUGUUUUUAGUUUGACCACAGCGAGGACACUCAGAGAGAUACUCAGAGCAGACUUUGAAAGAA